rnacentral:rRNA from 1 species
UACGUAGGGUGCAAGCGUUGUCCGGAAUUAUUGGGCGUAAAGAGCUCGUAGGCGGUUCGUCGCGUCGGCUGUGAAAUCCCGAGGCUCAACCUCGGGUCUGCAGUCGAUACGGGCGGACUGGAGUUCGGCAGGGGAGACUGGAAUUCCUGGUGUAGCGGUGAAAUGCGCAGAUAUCAGGAGGAACACCGGUGGCGAAGGCGGGUCUCUGGGCCGAUGACUGACGCUGAGGAGCGAAAGCGUGGGGGAGCGAAACAGG